GACUGAUUGUACCCGCCAGCUGGCUAAUAUCAUAAUUAACAAAGUUGCUACUACAUCUGCAAAGUUUAAUCGAAAAAUUUGCCAGUGAUAUGAUGGCAUUGUCACAAAGAUCACAAGGGACACGGAGUUGACUUUUGCUCAAGGUGGAAUGGCAAAGCUGUAUGGGCAAGAUGAGAAAUCGUGCACUUGUUCAGCCAAAGGUUAUGCUUCAUGUCACCCACCGGGGAGGAUCAUCUCUCAUGAAAACUGCCAAAUUUGAUUUUGAAAAUUAUUCAGAAAAAUUUAAGCCACGCUAUCUCCCACUGUAGGAAAGAAUAUACUCUGGAGGUUCCUAUAAUUCAAAGAAAAUGGACUGGGAUAACAUUUGGGUUUGCAUGCCACCAAAAUCCUCUCGAGAAGGACAGCCAGGUUUUGCUAAAGGAUCACACUGUGGAAUCUACAACCGCGACAAACUUCUGCACUUACUGCCCCUUGAAAAACAAAAUAUUGGCAUGGGAAGGAGGCUAAUAAUGAAGGGCCGGGGAAGGAGGCCAGUGCUAGGAGGGUUAUCUCACUGCCUCAGAUGCUGGAUAAGUCGAAGGAAGCAGAAUCGCUUUUGGAUGACAUUCAGAAAGGCCGGAGUGAUUAUUUGGGAGAGAAAAGCCUGCCUAUUCUUUUCCAAGGUGCGUGACUGUUCCCCUGGCCUGCCCAUCCACUGAUGAAUUAUUAGCAACGUGCCUUAGACAAAGGACGCACGGGAGCCCCACCACACCUAGAGCCACGCUUUGAAGGAUCUGCCAAGCUCACUUUUAAUCAUGAGAAAGAAAUUACCCACAUGGAGUCAGCAGAAAAUGAGAAAGUAGAGCUCGUGCUGCGAAUAAUUCCAGCAAGU